rnacentral:rRNA from 1 species
UAACACGUGUGUAGCCCCGGACGUAAGGGCCGUGCUGAUUUGACGUCAUCCCCACCUUCCUCACAUCUUACGACGGCAGUCUCUCUAGAGUCCUCAGCAUGACCUGUUAGUAACUAAAGAUAAGGGUUGCGCUCGUUAUGGCACUUAAGCCGACACCUCACGGCACGAGCUGACGACAACCAUGCAGCACCUUCACAAAUGCCUUGCGGCUAACCUGUUUCCAGAUUAUUCAAAUGCAAUUUAAGCCCGGGUAAGGUUCCUCGCGUAUCAUCGAAUUAAACCACAUGUUCCUCCGCUUGUGCGGGCCCCCGUCAAUUCCUUUGAGUUUCACCGUUGCCGGCGUACUCCCCAGGUGGAAUACUUAAUGCUUUCGCUUGGCCGCUUACUGUAUAUCGCAAACAGCGAGUAUUCAUCGUUUACUGUGUGGACUACCAGGGUAUCUAAUCCUGUUUGAUACCCACACUUUCGAGCAUCAGUGUCAGUUGCAGUCUAGUGAGCUGCCUUCGCAAUCGGAGUUCUUCGUGAUAUCUAAGCAUUUCACCGCUACACCACGAAUUCCGCCCACCUCUACUGUACUCAAGACUGCCAGUUUCAACUGCAAUUUUACGGUUGAGCCGCAAACUUUCACAACUGACUUAACAAUCCACCUACGCUCCCUUUAAACCCAAUAAAUCCGGAUAACGCUCGGAUCCUCCGUAUUACCGCGGCUGCUGGCACGGAGUUAGCCGAUCCUUAUUCAUAUGGUACAUACAAAAUUCCACACGUGGAAUACUUUAUUCCCAUAUAAAAGAAGUUUACAACCCAUAGGGCAGUCAUCCUUCACGCUACUUGGCUGGUUCAGACUCUCGUCCAUUGACCAAUAUUCCUCACUGCUGCCUCCCGUAGGAGUUUGGACCGUGUCUCAGUUCCAAUGUGGGGGACCUUCCUCUCAGAACCCCUAUCCAUCGUAGUCUUGGUGGGCCGUUACC